GGGCCUGUAGCUCAGCUGGCUAGAGCACGCGCUUGAUAAGCGCGGGGUCGAUAGUUCGAUCCUAUCCAGGCCCA
rnacentral:tRNA from 2 species